GAACGCUGGCGGUAGGCCUAACACCUGCAAGUCGAACGGCCGCACAGUAAGAGCUUGCUCUUACGGGUGGCGCGUGGCGGACGGGUGAGGAAUACAUCGGAAUCUACUUUUUCGUGGGGGAUAACGUAGGGAAACUUACGCUAAUACCGCAUACGACCUACGGGUGAAAGCAGGGGAUCUUCGGACCUUGCGCGAUUGAAUGAGCCGAUGUCGGAUUAGCUAGUUGGCGGGGUAAAGGCCCACCAAGGCGACGAUCCGUAGCUGGUCUGAGAGGAUGAUCAGCCACACUGGAACUGAGACACGGUCCAGACUCCUACGGGAGGCAGCAGUGGGGAAUAUUGGACAAUGGGCGCAAGCCUGAUCCAGCCAUACCGCGUGGGUGAAGAAGGCCUUCGGGUUGUAAAGCCCUUUUGUUGGGAAAGAAAAGCAGCAGGUUAAUACCCCGCUGUUCUGACGGUACCCAAAGAAUAAGCACCGGCUAACUUCGUG
rnacentral:rRNA from 1 species